rnacentral:rRNA from 1 species
UACGUAGGGGGCGAGCGUUAUCCGGAUUCACUGGGUGUAAAGGGAGCGUAGACGGCCAAGCAAGCCAGGGGUGAAAGCCCGGGGCCCAACCCCGGGACUGCCCUUGGAACUGCAUGGCUGGAGUGCGGGAGGGGCAGGCGGAAUUCCUGGUGUAGCGGUGAAAUGCGUAGAUAUUAGGAGGAACACCAGUGGCGAAGGCGGCCUGCUGGACGGUGACUGACGCUGAGGCUCGAAAGCGUGGGGAGCAAACAGG